CGGGUAUUUAAGGCUGGAGUUAUGCCACCUGGUGUACGUCACUGCUGGGACCGCACCUAUGGAGUGCGCGUGUAUAGAUGCGCGUGGAAUGGCCAUUUGAUGCGUUGUGUUGGGUUGCAGGCUGUCCACUACAUGUCAGCUGUGAAAUUCUUCGGUGAAGGUGUCUUCCUGCAUGAGCUUCUAUGCUUGUUAUGAGUUGAGAGCAACGGUACAAUUCGUGCGGCACAACGAUCCGUUUCGGCACUGUAGGGCCCGAGGCUGGGAGGCUAGCUGGUAGUGAGUACUGGUGAUGGUACAAUCGUGUGGAGUGCAGUAUUGUUUGGAUUCACGUUUUACUCUGUGUGAGUGGGUGUGACUGUGUGCGUGGGAUGCACUAGCGUACAGAUAGGAUCUUCACUUCAGCUAGCCUGCCUUUGCUGCUGGAAAGCCUGUGCCUGUUUAUUUGGUUGUUUUCCUU